CCUACGGGUGGCAGCAGUGAGGAAUAUUGGUCAAUGGGCGUAAGCCUGAACCAGCAACGCCGCGUGAAGGAAGAAGGCUUUCGGGUUGUAAACUUCUUUUAAGGGGGAAGAGCAGAAGACGGUACCCCUUGAAUAAGCCACGGCUAACUACGUGCCAGCAGCCGCGGUAAUACGUAGGUGGCAAGCGUUGUCCGGAUUUACUGGGUGUAAAGGGCGUGCAGCCGGAGGGACAAGUCAGAUGUGAAAUCCACGGGCUCAACCCGUGAACUGCAUUUGAAACUGUUUCCCUUGAGUGUCGGAGAGGUAAUCGGAAUUCCUUGUGUAGCGGUGAAAUGCGUAGAUAUCAGGAAGAACACCAGUGGCGAAGGCGGAUUACUGGACGAUAACUGACGGUGAGGCGCGAAAGCGUGGGGAGCAAACAGGAUUAGAUACCCCAGUAGUC
rnacentral:rRNA from 1 species